rnacentral:tRNA from 1 species
GAGUUCGUAGCUUGAUUGGUAAAUCGUCUGCUUUCUAUGCUGAAGGUUGGGGUUCGAUUCCACACGAACAAUUUUUUUUCU